GCACAGAUCUUUCUUUGCCUGGUGUGCCUCCAUGCACUUUAUGGAGAUUAUAGCUGCUCUGGUGUGUGCAAUCACUGCCUUACCCUCCUCACUUUUAAAACCAACUGUAAUUCCAUUACAAAUUAUUCCCUCUACAAGAUGUUCUAACAUCAAUACGAAAGAUAUUUGAAAGGCUGUUGCAGUGCAAUCAGAUGCCUUAACUUUUUUUCUCCAACUGCUGAACUCACAGUGCCCAAAUACAGAGUUUUCAUAGGGGUGCAGCAACCUUCUAAUAUUUUGAUUGGAACAUUUGUUUUGUGCAUUCUGCAAGUUCAAAGAUACUUCCACUAAAAACCAGCCAGAUUCACUCAUAUAGAACUUGAGAGUGGUCCCAUCCUGCUGCUUCCGUGGGAAGAGGAGAGGUCCACAUUAGGGUUGGAAAGCAAGAUAUGUUUUAUCUGAGAGGUGAACAGUUUUACUACCACAAAGGAAGAGCAGCAGCUGGAUUCAUCAGUAUCUGUGGUUUUAAAUAGAAGAAAAGAAGACAACUGCAAAGAAAAAAGCAUAAAGAGUCUAAUGAUUGCAGUUCAAUUAUUUCCAAUGGAUGAAAGGCAGGGAUAAACGCUUUUCAAGCCAUGCAGUACAACACUACCCAUGGACUGAAAAUGAUAUUUUCAGUGAUUUGAAAGAUAUGCAACCCUGUUGUCCUGGGAUAACAUGACUAUGAUUCACUGCCUCAAAAGCAAUCACAGAUCAGCAACUACUUCCUGCCCCCAGCCACUCUAUCCCAUGUCAGAGUGAAGGUCAAAACAAUUUUCAGCAGGCUGGUGAAUGCCUGGGGAUUUUGUGGUUUGUGUUUGUCAGGAGUAUGUGAGUGCAAGUGCUGUUCAGUUUGUCAUCUACUUUACAAGUGCACAGAGCUUGUAUCCAUUGCUAUUAUAGGUUAAAAGUACUUAGGGAAAGCUAGGGCACAGAGAUAAGAAUGCAUCUCCUGCCUUCCCCUGAUUUGCACUGGUAAUGUGGAAGUCCCAGAGGCAAAAUGAAUCCUGAGUGUCCACAGCAAAGUAGUCUCAAGUGGGAGAAUUUUAAUGAAUUUAUUGC
rnacentral:lncRNA from 7 species